AUUCCAGCUCCAAUAGCGUAUAUUUAAGUUGUUGCAGUUAAAAAGCUCUUAGUUGGAUCUUGGGUCGUAAGGGUCGGUCCGCCUACUCGGUGUGCACCUGCCCUUCCGUCCCUUUUGUCGGCGGCGUGCUCCUGGCCUUAAUUGGCUGGGUCGCGGUUCCGGCGCUGUUACUUUGAAAAAAUUAGAGUGCUCAAAGCAAGCUUAUGCUCUGAAUACAUUAGCAUGGAAUAACGUGAUAGGAGUCUGGUCCUAUUGUGUUGGCCUUCGGGACCGGAGUAAUGAUUAAUAGGGACUGUCGGGGGCAUUCGUAUUUCGCCGAGAGAGGUGAAAUUCUCAGACCAGCGGAAGACGAACCUCUGCGAAAGCAUUUGCCAGGGAUGUUUUCAUCG
rnacentral:rRNA from 1 species